rnacentral:rRNA from 1 species
UAGGGAAUAUUGGACAAUGGGGGCAACCCUGAUCCAGCCAUGCCGCGUGAGUGAAGAAGGCCCUCGGGUUGUAAAGCUCUUUUGUCCGGAAAGAAAAGCAUUCGGUGAAUACCCGGAUGUUCUGACGGUACCGGAAGAAUAAGCACCGGCUAACUUCGUGCCAGCAGCCGCGGUAAUACGAAGGGUGCAAGCGUUACUCGGAAUUACUGGGCGUAAAGCGUGCGUAGGUGGUUGUUUAAGUCUGAUGUGAAAGCCCUGGGCUCAACCUGGGAAUGGCAUUGGNAACUGGGCAGCUAGAGUGCGGUAGAGGGUAGUGGAAUUCCCGGUGUAGCAGUGAAAUGCGUAGAGAUCGGGAGGAACAUCUGUGGCGAAGGCGACUGCCUGGACCAGCACUGACACUGAGGCACGAAAGCGUGGGGAGCAAACA